UGCCCACUUCAGCAGCAAUAUACUAAAAUUGGAAUUAUACAAAGAUAACCACGGCCCCUAUACUAGAAUGAUAUGCAAAUUUGUGAAAGCAUUCCAGAUUUUU